GUGAGCUAUGGAGAUGGUUCAACUUCCAAAGGCUUCCUCAUAAAUUUUUGGAAUUUUUGAGACACAGAUAAACUUCGGGUGAUCGAGGUCAGCUAUUUUUCUGCAUCCAGCAGCCACAAUAGUCAUCGGUGUACUGCCACAGGAGGAGUUAUUUUACAGAGCAACCUGUUUUCUUCCUCGCAGGUUUAACGUCGAUUAUUUAAUUGUUUUACUAUCUUUUCUAAAUUUAAAAUCUAGAACUCCGCAUGUGUUAGUAAUAGUGUGGGCCUUGUUAGAAAUUGUGUUAAUUUAAAUUUUUGAAAUUAAUAAAUGAAGAUUUGUAUGGUAUUUAAA